AGAGUUUGAUUCUGGCUCAGAACGAACGCUGGCAGCGUGGAUUAGGCAUGCAAGUCGGACGGGAUUCUGGCCCGCAAGGGUCGGAUGAGAGUGGCGUAAGGGCGAGGAGCACAUGGGUAAUCUACCUCCAAGCUGGGGAUAACCCCGCGAAAGUGGAGCUAACACCGAAUGUGGUGGUCCCGCGUUGCGGGAUUCACUAAAGGUGGGGACCCUUCGGGGCCUGCCGUUUGGGGAGGAGCCCGUGUCCUAUCAGCUAGUUGGUGAGGUAACGGCUCACCAAGGCUAUGACGGGUGGCUGGUCUGAGAGGAUGGUCAGCCGCACUGGGACUGAGACACUGCCCAGACUCCUACGGGAGGCUGCAGUCGAGGAUCUUUUGCAAUGGGCGAAAGCCUGACAAAGCGACGCUGCGUGGAGGAUGAAGGCCUUCGGGUUGUAAACUCCUGUCAUGCGGGAAAAACGGCCGGCCGGUUAACAGCCUGUCGGUAUGAUGGUACCGCAAGAGGAAGCCACGGCUAACUCUGUGCCAGCAGCCGCGGUAAUACAGAGGUGGCGAGCGUUGUUCGGAUUUAUUGGGCGUAAAGGGUGCGUAGGUGGCUGCGUGUGUCGAGUGUGAAAUCCCACUGCUCAACGGUGGAACGGCGCUCGAAACUGCGCGGCUUGAGUGCAGGAGGGGAGAGCGGAAUUCCUGGUGUAGCGGUGAAAUGCGUUGAGAUCAGGAAGAACACCGGUGGCGAAGGCGGCUCUCUGGAAUGCAACUGACACUGAGGCACGAAAGCUGGGGGAGCAAACAGGAUUAGAUACCCUGGUAGUCCCAGCCCUAAACGGUGUGCACUUGGUGUGGGGAGAAUUAACCCUCCCCGUGCCGGAGCUAACGCGUUAAGUGCACCGCCUGGGGAGUACGGCCGCAAGGCUAAAACUCAAAGAAAUUGACGGGGGCCCGCACAAGCGGAGGAGCAUGUGGCUUAAUUCGAUGCAACGCGAAGAACCUUACCAGGGCUUGACAUGCAGAGUUCAGGCGGUGAAAGCCGCUGGCCGCAAGGCGAUCUGCACAGGUGCUGCAUGGCUGUCGUCAGUUCGUGCCGUGAGGUGUUGGGUUAAGUCCCGCAACGAACGCAACCCUUGUGUCUAGUUGCCACUCCCGAUGUUAAGUUGGGAAGCACUCUAGACAGACUGCCCGUACAAGCGGGAGGAAGGUGGGGAUGACGUCAAGUCAGUAUGGCCCUUACGCCCUGGGCUGCACACGUGCUACAAUGGUCGGUACAGAGGGACGCAAGACCGCGAGGUGGAGCAAAUCCUCAAAACCGACGUCAGUUCGGAUUGAAGUCUGCAACUCGACUUCAUGAAGUCGAGUUGCAGAC
rnacentral:rRNA from 1 species